rnacentral:misc_RNA from 1 species
CUUGUUCUCUAUCGCGGCAGAUACACACAACACUAGUUUUUUGGCGCAGCAGAGUUGGAACUUGUUGAAGAGUUUCGAUGGCGUUACCGGUGGUUGAUACAGAGUACCUGAAAGAGAUCGACAAGGCUCGUCGCGAUCUCCGUGCUCUCAUUGCCUGCAAAAACUGCGCUCCUAUCAUGCUCCGCUUAGCGUGGCACGACGCAGGGACUUACGAUAAGAACAUAAAAACUGGUGGACCUAAUGGCUCCAUAAGGAAUGAAGAGGAAUAUACUCAUGGCUCCAAUAAUGGCUUGAAGAUUGCUAUUGAUUUUUGUGAAGAAGUGAAAGCUAAACAUCCCAAGAUUACUUAUGCAGACCUAUACCAGCUUGCGGGUGUUGUUGCAGUCGAGGUCACUGGAGGCCCAUCCAUUGACUUUGUUCCUGGUAGAAAGGAUUCAAAAGUUUCUCCUGAGGAAGGGCGACUUCCAGAUGCUAAAAAAGGUCCACGACAUUUAAGAGAUAUCUUUUAUCGGAUGGGCCUGUCUGACAAGGAUAUUGUGGCACUCUCCGGGGGUCAUACACUGGGAAGGGCACAUCCAGAGAGAUCAGGUUUUGAUGGCCCUUGGACCAAGGAGCCUCUGAAGUUUGAUAACUCAUACUUCGUGGAACUGCUGAAAGGGGAGACAGAGGGACUGUUGAAACUCCCAACUGACAUUGCUCUGUUGCAAGACCCUGGGUUCCGUCCUUAUGUUGAGCUGUAUGCAAAGGUAACAUAAACAUCCUUACUUUUUUGUUCUUUCCAAUCAAAUGAUAAUACAUUCAGACAUGUACCAUUGGCAAAUAAUCACCUUUAUGAGCACUCCUGUUUGCAGAACUAAUUUUUGUGUUUGAAGAAUUUUUUAUCAUUUCUUCACCAAAAAAAAAAAAAAAGAAUAUAGGUCAAGUUUACCCUUCUUACUCUAAAAAAGUUGUCUAUUCUGGUCCUCAUAUGCAUCUACAAAUCCACUUGGAACAAAUAUUAAUUGGAAUGAGCCACUGAUCAAAUGAUUUAUUUUUAAUCCCCUUCCAACCUGAAUGCUGUUCUUUCUUGCAAGUUGGGUCUGGAUUACUACUACUGAUUUGGUUAACUUGAAGCUAUGCUUAGUCCUUUUCAAGUACAAUUCUGUAAUUCUCGUUUCAGGAGAAUGUCUUGGUUUGUCUUCUAGUUAUAUAAAUAUGAUCACCUCUUGGUUUGGCUGGUGGAAGCUAGUCUACCUAAAGUUGGGCCAAAAUCUUGGCUCUUCUGAAGAAUAUGUAUCAGUAGUUUAGUACCUACUCAGGUGAUUAUCUCCACUUGAAAACUGAUAAAUUCUAGGGAAAGAUUGUGUCUUGCCUUUCUUCUUGAGCUAGAAUCAUUUGUAAUAGUUACAUUUGUAUAUGUCAUAUGUAAAAUAAUUUAUUUAUUUUUUCAUAUGCAAACUUUUGUUGGGUGGCAGGAUGAGGAGGCAUUCUUUAGAGAUUAUGCAGUGUCACAUAAGAAACUUUCAGAACUAGGGUUUACUCCAAGGUCCAAGGUAAUUGCUAAGGACAGCACCGUACUGGCACAAAGUGCAGUUGGAGUUGUAGUUGCUGCUGCUGUGGUGAUAGUUAGCUAUUUGUAUGAGGUUCGCAAAAGAAUGAAGUAGAGAGUGGUUGAUCUUUAUUCCCAUAGAUUGUUCCUUGUGAAUCAGUGGCAUGAAGUUCAUUUUCACGGCCCAGCCAGGAGCUGAUUUGUGAUAUUUGUACCUGAAGAUAACAAUAAUACG